CCCGAGAAAUUUCUUGAAUCCAUGGAUCUGUAUAGCACCCGGUCUUUGUCCACGUACUGUUCGUACAAUUAUCUCGCGACUAUCAUGGUAAGCUCAAUUACUCAAGAACUUCUGUUAUUGAUAUAACAUGUAUAGCAUUUGAUCUAUCUAUUAAAUAGAUUAAUUCCAAGUCCCUAAUCUAAUUGGACUAAAAAACUUUAAUUUCAGCAAAAUUUAAUGGGAAACUCUAUUUUCCCAUAAUUAUUGGUUCAAUUGAUUGCACAAUGCCUCUCAAUUUGCUGAAUUUUUGUUCUUUCUUGCCUUCAACCACACUAAUUUACAAUAGCACAUGUAAAACUGCUUUUGAGGUGAUUUAGAAGUGUACUUAUUUUUUCUGUAUUAUUGCUUUGCUUUAUAUGGAUUGAUUUCAACUAGCUGAAUAUAUUGCGAUUGGAGAUAAGGUAUGAUGCUUUCUUAAUAUUAAGAUUAUAAUUCAAUCCAUGGAUAUGGCUGAAGUACUUUCUAUUUGUUAUUGUUAUAUUUUUGUUAGUUUUCAUUAUUUCUAUAGCCAAGUUGCUUGAUGCUAAGUGCCUGUUGUGGUUUACUGUCAGUUUUUAUAUGUAUCUAUGUAGUUCUUACUGAGUAGAAAGAUAUUUCAACUUAUCUAAAAAUCGAAAAUAUAAAGUUACAUUGUGGAUCAUGUAUCAAUUCAUUAAUGUUAGGUGAUUCUCUCAAUGUUACCAGUUUUAAAAUAUAUUAGGUAACUCUCUCAUAACUCAAGAAUAGACGUUAUCUAAAUUGAAAAAUUAUUAAAAAUAUCUCAGAAAUAAAGAAAUAAGUACUGCGUUAGGAGCCGUAAGAGAAGAAAUAAAGUACUUAAUUAUACAAUAGAGUGUUGUUACUGACUUCUUUCUUGAUGACGUUACACUUUUGUAUAAAGUGUUUAAUUUGUUUAAAGACUACCUUACCUCUUUUUCUUUAUUGUUAUCUUUUUGGUUGUUUCAUAAGGUUACUCAAAAUAGUUAGUGAGUUUCAGAUUCAGCUUCUCCUUUUCUCGGGUAAAAAAUUAGCCGCAAUUUGGAAUUGAGAGGUCUUUGACAUUUAAAAUGAUAUGGAUUCAAUUUUGUUUAUUUUUUGAAGCUUUCAACUUAUGUUAUUAUUACUGUAACUUAAUUAGCAACAAAUGCAUAGCUACUUGUCGUGCCACUAAUAAAAAACGAAACAGAUACUAGUUUAUAAACUACAUGCAAAUUAGGUACUUGUUUGAAGUCAUAUGUUUAUUACUGAACAAGUCCAUGGCCUUUUCUUCCAGAUCCUCGCUUCACUCUUCCCGAUUUUGUUACUUAAGCACUCAUCCUGAGCAAUCUCUUUCGGUUCAGCAGUGUCCAGAUAUGAUAUCUUUGUCUCUUCUUCUUCAGAGUUCUCUAGAAUCGCACAUCCACUUCAGUGGCUCUUGCAAUUACUGAUCAUUUUACAGAUGUGACUGAUUAUAAUUGAUGAUAAACUGGUACCUUUCCUACCAUACUAUAAUUAUUCCAUUUGCACUUGGAUCGCAUAAACGCUCAUACAGUUUCUCUUGUCUUCUUUUUAUUGAGAUAUAGACAUGAUUUUAUAGACAAUUUCAUGUUAUUGAAUUAUUUUUCUUUAUGUUUUGAUUAACCAAUUUUAAUUAUAAUAUUAGUAUCAAGAGAGUAUUAUAGGAUACACAUUGGAUAAUACACUACAAAUAAAAAAAAGAGGCUUUUAACAGUUCUUAUGAAUUUAGUUGUUUUGCUCACUCAUUUUCGCUGUUCUUCACAAAUCAAGAAAUAAAGUAUCUCAUCUAAAGAAGAUCUCAUAAUGCCAUUUUUUAUAUAUCUAAUUUCCCUUGUGAAUAAGGAGGUGUUGUAUCCGAUGAGUCGUUUAGUCGUAUUGUAGAGUGCUAGGUGGAAUUUUAAAAUAAGAGAUGAUAGGUGAUAAAUUUUUCUGUCUAUAAAAAGACUUUUACAUUUUUCUUGCAACUCCUGAUGAUCACAGACCCCUAAAUAAUAGGUGGUUUUGGUUUCAUAUACACAAUUGCAAUGGUUGUUAUGGUGUUGUAGUUACAUGUCUUCUUUUUCAACAAUUACUAAAAAUGACUCAUUAUGUUAGGCGCAGACCACAUAAUCAUAGUUUCGUGAACCUAAAUUACUGAUAGAUGGUUGGAACCCGCGGCACGUAAAGACAAUUGCUAUGCUCGAGUUUCAUAUAGAAGAAAACAAACAUGUCAAAAAUUUAAUUCAUGAGUAAUAUCUUACAUCAAGUUAACUAUAUUAGACUCUAGCUAGAUAGAGCCUAAAUGUGUAGAAAUCAGCAUAUUAACUCGUACGAAGUGCAAGGAUGACAGAUCAUUGGAGGAAAAGUCUACAUGUAUAGUUGUAAGAUUUCUUAUGCAUUUAAUCCUUCAAGUUCGAUGGGUUUAUAAUUCGUAAAAUUAGUGAAGUUAUAAAAGGUUUCAGAUUUCUCUUUCAGUUUUUCUAUACUACUUUUUGUUUCUUCUUUUUGCUACUGCUAGCUUACUGCUUGA
rnacentral:lncRNA from 1 species